AGCGAACGUUAGCGGCGGGCUUAACACAUGCAAGUCGAGCGAGAAAGGGGCUUCGGCCCUGAGUACAGCGGCGGACGGGUGAAUAACACGUAGGUAACCUUCCUUCCAGCGGGGGACAACGGUCCGAAAGGACCGCUAAUACCGCAUACGUUCCCUGGGACCCUGGUCCCGGGGAGGAAAGCUCCGCAAGGGGCACUGGAUGAGGGGCCUGCGUAGCAUCAGCUAGUUGGUGGGGUAAUGGCCUACCAAGGCUAAGACGCUUAGCUGGUCUGAGAGGAUGAUCAGCCACACUGGGACUGAGACACAGCCCAGACUCCUACGGGAGGCAGCAGUGGGGAAUAUUGGACAAUGGGCGCAAGCCUGAUCCAGCCACGCCGCGUGAGUGAUGAAGGCCUUCAGGUCGUAAAGCUCUGUGGGAGGGACGAAUGGCGCCAUGAAGAGCGGCGAGUGACGGUACCUCCUUAGCAAGCACCAGCUAACUUCGUGCCAGCAGCCGAC
rnacentral:rRNA from 1 species